UACGAAGGGGGCUAGCGUUGUUCGGAAUUACUGGGCGUAAAGCGCACGUAGGCGGAUCGAUCAGUCAGGGGUGAAAUCCCAGGGCUCAACCCUGGAACUGCCUUUGAUACUGUCGAUCUGGAGUAUGGAAGAGGUGAGUGGAAUUCCGAGUGUAGAGGUGAAAUUCGUAGAUAUUCGGAGGAACACCAGUGGCGAAGGCGGCUCACUGGUCCAUUACUGACGCUGAGGCACGAAAGCGUGGGGAGCAAACAGGGAU
rnacentral:rRNA from 1 species